AAGUCGUAACAAGGUUUCCGUAGGUGAACCUGCGGAAGGAUCAUUAAUGAGAUCAUGCCACUCGGGGUAGACCUCCCACCCCCUGCUUUAUCCGUACCCGUUGCUUCGGUCGGUCCCGUUGCGCCGAGACGGGCCGGCCCAGAGGCACCUUUAACCCGGCUUAACGUUAUUCAUUGUCGUCUGAGUACUAUACAAUAGUUAAAA
rnacentral:misc_RNA from 1 species